rnacentral:rRNA from 1 species
AGGUAGUAACAACUUAUACAAAAACCUAUAUAGUUUGGCGGCAUUAUAUUAUAUUAGAGGAGCCUGUAAAAUAAUCGAUAAUCCCCGAUAAAUUUCACUUUAACUUAAAUCUUAUAUACCGCCGUUCACUGAAUUAAAAAAAAUUUUAUUUUUAAAUAAAUAGCUUAAAAAAAUAGGUAAAGGUGUAGAACAUGAUUAAGCUCUUAUGGGCUACAUUAAACAGUAUUUAAGGAAAGAAAACAAAAAUUUUAAACAAAAAAGGAUUUAUUAGUAAUAUUAAGUGUUAUCUACAAAUAAUAAUUUAAUAAGAAAAUUUAAUAAAUGUGC